rnacentral:rRNA from 1 species
ACGGAAGGCAGCAGUGGGGAAUAUUGGGCAAUGGGCGCAAGCCUGAUCCAGCGACGCCGCGUGAGUGAAGAAGUAUUUCGGUAUGUAAAGCUCUAUCAGCAGGGAAGAAAAUGACGGUACCUGACUAAGAAGCCCCGGCUAACUACGUGCCAGCAGCCGCGGUAAUACGUAGGGGGCAAGUGUUAUCCGGAUUUACUGGGUGUAAAGGGAGCGUAGACGGCGAUGCAAGUCUGAAGUGAAAGCCCGUGGCUUAACUGCGGAACUGCUUUGGAAACUGUAUUGCUAGAGUGUCGGAGAGGUGAGUGGAAUUCCCAGUGUAGCGGUGAAAUGCGUAGAUAUUGGGAGGGACACCGGCGGCGAAGGCGGCUCACUGGACGAUAACUGACGUUGAGGCUCGAAAGCGUGGGGAGCAAACAGGAUUAGAUACCCUGGUA